AAGGAUCAUUAAAGAGUAAGGGUGCUCAGCGCCCGACCUCCAACCCUUUGUUGUUAAAACUACCUUGUUGCUUUGGCGGGACCGCUCGGUCUCGAGCCGCUGGGGAUUCGUCCCAGGCGAGCGCCCGCCAGAGUUAAACCAAACUCUUGUUAUUAAACCGGUCGUCUGAGUUAAAAUUUUGAAUAAAUCAAAACUUUCAACAACGGAUCUCUUGGUUCUCGCAUCGAUGAAGAACGCAGCGAAAUGCGAUAAGUAAUGUGAAUUGCAGAAUUCAGUGAAUCAUCGAAUCUUUGAACGCACAUUGCGCCCCUUGGUAUUCCGAGGGGCAUGCCUGUUCGAGCGUCAUUACACCACUCAAGCUAUGCUUGGUAUUGGGUGCCGUCCUUAGUUGGGCGCGCCUUAAAGACCUCGGCGAGGCCUCACCGGCUUUAGGCGUAGUAGAAUUUAUUCGAACGUCUGUCAAAGGAGAGGACUUCUGCCGACUGAAACCUUUAUUUUUCUAGGUUGACC
rnacentral:rRNA from 1 species